ACAGAUUCCCCUGUCUGAUUUAUUAUUGCCUUCUGCUGAAUAGGUGAAGAAAGCAUUGUUACACUUGUAGGAAGCAUCAAAGAAUCUUCUGCAGGGAGGAUUUGCUGAAGCGGUGCUACAGGAGGUUGAACGGAUGACUUUGAGCCUCCUUGAUCCGAGUAGGACGAGUAACUAAUGCUGUGCUUGGAGAGGGUAACAAUGAAGCACAUGUCGGAAGGUGAUGCCUUGAAGGUGCUGCCACAGUUUGGAGAACAAAUGUGCCUUCGACAGGGGGUAAUGCAGGGACCUUAGUGAUCAUGAAGGGAGGAGUUUCAGGAAUAACUUCUUCUGUAGCUUCAGAGAUAACCUGUUUCCCAUAAAAGGUCAGCCAGUAGGGACUAAAUUCUUUAACUUCUGCCUUCAACCAUUGGCCAAAAGACAUUUUUUCCUUGCCUUCCAUUUUUGCGUCGGUAAAAGGUAUUUCUUGACAAUGCAUAGCGUAAUGGCCUAGUCGACCACAGGAAUAGCAAAAGUGAGAGAGCCUCUCAUAUCGAAAAUCAAGCCAUAGCACUUUCCCUGCUAUGCGAAUUAGCUGUCCUGUUUGCAGCGGUUCGUUUAACUUCAAUUCGACGCGAACUCGGCCUGCUCGUAGGUUAGUACCUUCCUUUGUAUCAAAUUUCACCUCUAAUACUUUCCCUACACGUUUGACGGCUUGACAGAGCAGUUGUUCCGAGCUCCACUCCAGGGGGAGGCCAACAACAUGUACCCAGAAUGCACAUGUACUAAAAUCAUAACAGGGCAAUGGUGUAUUAGGUAUCUAGGGUUUGAAAUUAACCAAAUGGUUAGAGAACUGCCACGGGCCCCCUUCGAGCACUCUCUGUUUGUCACUUUCUGAUUUGAAAUGAGCCACAUAAAGUCCAGCUUCUCUAGGUAAAAUCUCGAUUUGGUCUAUGCGCCAAGCGCGCUUCAUCGUACUUUGAAAUGCUGGAAAAUUUAUAGAAGGGUUGGAGAGGAGUUUACCAACUAAUAUUUUCUUGCACUCGUCAAUCUUUUCCAACGGAGGAGGGUUGUCCCAAGCAUCAAUUUCUUGAUCAGCCCAGAGUCGGCCCAUUCUAUUGUAGAGAGCUCCAAGACGCAACUCCUCUUCAUGAUCGAGGGUGUCCAUGAGAGUGACCUCAAUUCAGGUGACUGACUUCAGAAGAAGAUGCAAUUGGGGAUAGCGAAUUGUAGGGAAUUAGACAUGCAGGGUGUAGGUAGGUGAUGGGAUAAUCAGAAUCCAAAAGACGGUCCAAGUCUUCAGUCGAAGCAGAGACCGGUGAAGAUCGAAGCCGAAACUGAUGAAAUGACCAAAGGGAAAGGUGAAAGCCAGCGAAUUGAAGAGGUUUUGACGAGCAGAUGCAACAUUGGAAGAGCUAAUAUCAGGGAUUCGAAGGGCAAAGUGCAAUAGAGGAUGGCGGACAGAGAGUGGUGAGAAAAGUAUGAAAGCGUGGGCAAACGAAGGGAAAUUAGGGUUGAUGAAAACUACCAUUAAACGGUAGAGUUAAGCUCUGCAUGUCGAGAGAGGAAGAAAACCAGACCGAAGCUGGUAGUGAAUGUAAGAGCGGCAAGUCACCGCAGGCAAUCACCCUCUUCGUAUUAUGUUUGUUUGUUAUCUGAGCUUUUGAUUCUUGCUACUGGAACUUUUGCCCGUCUGGAGAUUGAGCCAGGGAGUGGCUGGUGCUUAAAUUCUGGAAUGAAAGUUAGGAUCUUUAUGGGCUUUCUUGUUUUGGAUUAGCCGGGUUUAUGUGGUUUGUUGGUUUCUCCUGCCUCUUUCAUUUGUGUUGGUGUCUGAGGAGAUGCAGCGUUGUUUGCGAUUCAUGACUUGUGAGUGCUUAUCAAGUCAUGAUUCCUUCUGGGUUUUUCUUGAUCUUUGCACUCUACCCUGUAGUAGCCAUAGAUUGUGGGGGUCUACGCAUCAUGGUUUUUCUGCUCUUACCGGAGAUGGUGCACCAUUUUCCCCUCAUUUUACCUUUCAAAGGCUUCUACUUCUGCUUACAAUUUUAUGCACCAUUUUCCCCUCAUUUUACCCUUCAAAGGCUUCUCCUUCUGCUUACAAUUUUAUCCUCAGUGCCUUGCAUCGUGUCCAAUUUUUCCUGUGCACGUUUGAUUUCUUCAUUUAAUUUUGUAACUGCAGGUUCUCUUUCAUUGCCACCAAUUUCACCUGAAGCUUUGGCAAGAUUUUCUCUUACAUUGCCUCCAAUGUCUUCAUCUAAUCGAGAAAUUAAAAUGAAACAGGAAAUAAGAAACGACGGGCCGUUUCCCGGGUCAAUCCUAGAAACGGUUCAGGCAGGUUAUAGGGUCGACUGGUACAGCUCCUGUGAGAACCCGCUCUUACAAGGCAAUGCAUGCGCAUUUCUCCUCGAAGUUCAAUGGGG